rnacentral:rRNA from 1 species
CACACUGCCCGUCAAGCCAUGGGAGUUGACUUUAUCUGAAAUCGGUAAGCUAACCCGCAAGGGAGGCUGCCGCUUAUGGUGGAGUUAAUGACUGGGGUU